GGACGGUUAGCUCAGCGGUAGAGCAUCGCCUUCACACGGCGGGGGUCACUGGUUCGAGCCCAGUACCGUCCACCA
rnacentral:tRNA from 1 species